GCUACGGGAGGCAGCAGUGGGGAAUAUUGCACAAUGGGGGAAACCCUGAUGCAGCAACGCCGCGUGAGUGAAGAAGGUUUUCGGAUUGUAAAGCUCUGUUAGCAGGGAAGAGGAAGGACGGUACCUGCAAAGGAAGCCACGGCUAACUAAGGGCCAGCAGCCGCGGUAAUACGUAGUAGGCAAGAGUUGUUCGGAAUAACUGGGCGUAAAGGAUGCGGAGGCGGUUAAACAAGUUAUCUGUUAAAUAUAUAGGCUUAACCUUUAGAAAGCUUAUAAAACUGUUUAACUAGUGUGCAGGAGAGGUAAGUGGAAUUCCUAGUGUAGCGGUGAAAUGCGGUGAGAUUAGGAAGAACACCAGUGGCGAAGGCGACUUACUGGACUGUAACUGACGCUGAGGCAUGAGAGCAUGGGUAGCAAACAGGAUUAGAUACCCGUGUAGUC
rnacentral:rRNA from 1 species